GACUCCAAUCAAGUUGUAGAAACAUCUCAAGGAUGAUCAGUGGAAACAGGAUGCACCUGAGCUCAAUUUUGAGUGUCGUGGCAAAGGCUUGAAAAGGAGUGGCGACACACGGUUAAAUAAGAGCUGUGAGCAGGUGCUUCAGUGACAAACAUUCUUUGAAUUCAUCAGCGUGAACACGAGACGGUCUUUCAGAUCACCUGAACUUCACACGCCAGACGCCUCAAACGCACAGGCUGCUUGUAGAAAUGUCUAGUUCUAACCCCAACACCACUGGAGGUCCGAG